GCAGCAAGGCAUGAGGAAUUAUGGGUAGCAGUAGCAACUGGGAAGGCAGCUACAGAAGGGCUCUCAUAAUUCGUGCAGACUUCAGUGCUAAAGUAGGACGGAAUUAGUACUGAUUUAGAGUAGGGCAGUGUAAAUGUGGUGACUGAUUGGAGUUGUUGUUUCUUUCAAGGUGGCCUGUAAGCAUACACAGUUACUGCCAUAAUGAAAUUAUCCUAAUGAAGGCAUUGGGUCACUUUUACUACUGGAUUAUCUAUUUUAUACGUACAGCUGGGAUGUAUUACCCUGAGUGGAGAGGAGACAUUUGUUAAAUUGAUUCGGCAGACUCAUUUUAUGUAUUCUUAGUAUAAGAGCUUCAGCUCUGAUUAAUAGGCCACGUGCAGUUGCCAUCUUAAGUUUCAAUACCAAAUAAUUUGUGACGCUGCUUAUUCAAUGAGGGAAGUUUUCAAAAUGCCACCUGCUAUGUUCCUUUAAGCCUUUCAAUGGCAAGCUAUUCUGAAGCACUCUAAAAUGAAAAUGUAUUUACUUUCCCCAUGCAAAUCUGAGAAUGAGGCACUUAUUUCCCCCUCCCCCAUUUUGUUCACUCAGCUUCUGUUUGCAUGUGUUGCAGAUAUAAGUUUGUGCUGGCUCUUAUCAAAUUAGGCUGAGUUCUGGACUAACCCAUCAGAUUGGUCCUCUUUGCCAACAACCUUUAUAUUUUAACAUGGCAAAAAAUAAUAAUAAAAAAUAAUAUAGCAUAUUAUUUUAAAUACACACACAACUGUUUGUGGGCUAUUUAAUCCAGAUUUUUAACAAAUUGUCUGGAGUCUGUACCCCAGUAUAACUAUCACAAGAUUGCUGAGCUUUCUACAGAACCUUUUCAUAUGGAUUAUUCAUAAGAAAGAAGGCAUAGAUGUUUGCAGCCAUCUCUUCAGGUGGCAUCUUGUCUUCAAGUCUGAUGUUUCUGCUAUUAAAAUACCAGGCUAGUGCACAGUAAGACCACUCAUUCAUGAUUGAGCACCAUGUGGGGUGGGGAGGAGUCACUGUUGAGGAAGCAUGCAUGAGAAGAUUGUGAUGUAAGGGUAUCUUCGCAUACAAGUGAUAAAUUUUCUGUUGCUUCCUCCAGUAGCUGUAAAUCUGCAUUGGCCAGAAUGCUCAUUUGCAUUACAAAUGCCCACUCCUCAGCUUUUCUCUUGAGCAGAGGUUAACAAUAAUAGUAUCUCAAAAGUGACUUGGAGUCUUGCGUGUGGAAACAGGUAACUGGUGCCAUCCCAGAACGCCUGCAGCACUAUCAUUUUUUGCAUUUUUGUGAAGGAUUUUACUUAUUGUACGUAAGCUACUCUGGGAGCCAAUCUUACCUGAAAUACAUGAUACAAGUAUGAUCUUAAGUACAUAUGUAUCUAAUAAAGCAAAGUUAAGGGGGUGUUGAAUUAAAACAAAGUUAGGGAGGUGGUACUCUUCUUCAGAAAAUAACUACUUUUCAGAGAAUCAAAACUGCUAAAUUGCUUCAGUUCAAUGCAUGUGCUCCUAUAACUGCACACAAAUGAAAUAACGUUUGCUUAGUAGGGGAAGAGACUUAGCUCCAGGCAACCUUGUGUACACGGAGAAAUCAAGUCCCUCACUUGUUACAUUUUGAUAGAUUUAAUCGUUCAUCUUUAGAAAUAGCGAUAGAAGCAUGCGGAGACUUGACAAAGUUUGCUGGUGGCUCAAAUCAAUGCCAAUGUCUGUGGCAAAAUAGAUUCAACGUCUACUUGUUAGAGUAUCUGUUUUUGUAGAAACUGUGCAGAAGUGAAGGGAGCUGGGAGGGGUGGUAUGCUGUGCUUCGAAACCUGCGCUGAGAGUGAAGGAAGGCCUGUGAAGAAAAAAAUCAAAGAUGCUAAUCCCAAGUACACCAAAAGCAAGUUUUGCUUAGGUUUUUUUAAAAAAUAAAAUAAAAAUGCAUCUGUAGUCACUUUACAUAUGUUGCGUGGCAUCCCAAUCUCCAAGCGGUGGAAGAUUCCAAGUGUUCCAGACAUGCUUACCCAGGAUCCAUGUUUCCUUUUGGAAAUGAGGCACAGCAGAGACUGUGGUAUCUUUAGGAUAUAUGGUUUCUUUACAGACAUGCAUAUAACCUGGCCUGCAAUGGAGGGCAUCACAGCAACAACACUCCAGUAGGGUCUUGCUUCUCCCAUAGGUACAGCUCUGGAUUCAAACCUGCAUCAGCCAUGGCUCUGACCCUCUCCUCAGCUUGCCGCCUUUAAUGGACUGCCACCUUUUCCCUCCCAGCCACAUUCCAGCCAACUCUAAACUCUGAAUACUGACUUUUGUUCUUCUAAUUAACUCUGAGCAGAGGGAGAGGUUCCACCCACUUGCUGUCUGGCAAAGAUGUUGCCUUCUUAAGGGGUCAUUACCUUCCCUUUCUUAAUGGCUCGUCUCCCAGGCAAUUCAAUAGAAUCUGUGCUGAAUCCAGGAAUUAGAAGGGAGAUCCAGGCAUUUAGCCUACCACCCACAAAACCCCUCAUAACACUUAAUAAUAACUUGAGAACAAGAAACAGUUACACGCAUGAACAGAAAGAGGCUGGAGUUUACACAGUUAAGGCAGACACUGGGUUACAGACAUUAAAAACGCACUGUUGGGCAUUUUCCAAAGUCCCUCCAGAAAGAAGCGUGGUGUCCUGGCUCCCUGGGAUGAGACACAUAAACUCAGAUGCUGAUGAUUUUCAGAAGCUUUAAUGCUCAAAUACAGUGCAUAUGCAAAUCACCAGUCAAAGACACAACAGGCAGUAUUCAUCAAGGAACACUAAGGAAGCUGGCCACAGCUAUUGCCAUAGUUGCUCCCAAACAUCAUUCUCUACUGCUUUAUUUCAACAGAAAACAAUUGUCUUUCUAAGCUUCCAUUACAUCUGUAAAGUGACAUUCAGGAAAGCUGAACUGUCAAAUGAAUAUUGUCUCCCCUGUGUGGUUAAGUUGUCGUCUGCCUGCUGGGAUGAAUUUGCCAACUGCUUUUGUGGAGAGAAAUCACUUGUAGUCAGUUCUAGUUCAUCAGCACAGCACGGGAGUAUAAGAGGCUAAACUUCCUCCUGCCUAUUUAGAUCAAUUUCAGUCUAUAUUGCUCACCAAUGUAAAGAGUGAGCAUUACUCUUGCAUCAUUGCUAGCGGGAAGAUCACAGAAAGUGAUGAAGGUCAUUUGCUGGUCACAGUCACAAUGUGACUUUAGGACCUGGAUGUAGACAAGGCCAAUGUAAGGAUGAUUGGCAGGUCCUUGUGCUAACAUUGACCAAAUUAAGCCUUUUUAAAGACUCGUCUGGCACUGUAGGAACAAUCCCCUGGAAAGGGGUGACUCACAUUAAAUUGGUUCUUCAGCAUCUGCACAGUCUCCACAGCGGCCUGAUUUGCACAAAAUGCUAAACCAUUGUUUAAAAUUAAACUAUGGCUUAGCCAGAACUCAUCAGAAGUCCCCAACACAUUCCCUCCCUGCUUCUUCCUAUGCUGCAGAGGAGGAAACAAACAAUAGGCUAGUUUGCAGGCUACCUUGUUUGUUUUCUCCUGCAGUGCAAAGGAGGAGUCGGGUGGAGAGCUCUGUGGUUUCCCUUGUUGCGGCGUAUAUACUAAGCUUGCUAUGUGCUCAGUUUAAAUCAUAAUUUAAUUUUCACUGUGGUUUUAAUGUGGUGUGCGACUGUUGCCUCUCUCCCGUCGUAUUCUCUUAGAUUUGCUGAAAACAUCUCAACUCUUUGACAAGCCCAGAGAGCAGGGAUACGCAGAGAGGAAUUGUUUGUGAAUCCUCUGCAGCUAAGGUAGCAUCCUUUCCUUCAAAACACACUCAAGCUUAUUUUUUUGGUUUGUUUGUUGUACUAGAUGCAUUGCAUGAUCACUUUAGUAGCACUCUUAUCUGAGGUUGGAUUUAAGCCGCCAAGUAAAAAGCAGAAUUCUAAAAUACAUUCCUUUUGAUUUUUCAUUUUUCAUUUGUGUUGGCAGUUUAACUCAUGCUGAGUCCUAGGGAUGGGGCAAGAUACAUAUUUCAAACUAUAGGAAGGAUAAAUUAGAACUAAUAUAAAAUGAAAUGCAGACUUUUAGGAUUCUUACUGAAUUGUUAGUUAGCAUAAUAAAGCAUAGCCAAUAAAGCAUACUCAGCUGGAGGAAUAAGAACUUUAAAAAAUAAUAAUUCUCAAGACUUUAAUAUUUUUGCUAGGACACAUUUCAAUUUUCUUUUCCCAAUAUUUCUUUUCUAGCUCUUAUUUCAUUUCCCUCUCUCAUCCCAUACUAUUGUUGCACAGUGAGGAAAAAAAUUAAUUUAGUCAGGUUGUUGUGCAGGGGAAGCUGAGAACACAUAGUGAAAAAUCUAUCUCAGUAUUUCCACAUAGUGUUUUCUGAGUUACACAACACUCCCCCAACCACCAUGCUCAAGAUGUUUAAAAUGGCCUCUCUCUCUUUCCCCCCCAAAGAAAUGUCUAGAAAGUUGUUGGGCUACCAAAUGUAGAUUUUAUUUGCGGAAGACUGACUUUCUUUCAAUAACUCGCUCUCAAAAGUGUUUUGCACUGGGUACCUCUGUAUAUAAGUACAGUGGUACCUCAGGUUACAGACGCUUCAGGUUACGUGUUUUCAGGUUGCGGAUUGUGGGAAACCCAGAAGUACCAGAAAGGGUUACUUCUGGGUUUCGCCGCUUGCACAUGUGCAGAAGCGCUAAGUCGCGUCACGUGCGUGUGCAGACACGGUGCUGCAGGUUACGAAUGCUGCGGGUUGUGGACGUGCCUCCGUCACGGAUUACGUCCGCAACCCGAGGUUCCACUGUAGUAUGCAGGGCCUGUGUCACAAAUAAAUAUAGCAGUCAGGAAGAAAGUACUUGAGAAGUAAUGGCUGCAGCCUUAGUCAUGAACUCACAGUAAUGUACAUAACCUCUUGUAGGUCAGGGGUGGGAAACCAGUUUUCUCCAGAUGUUGUUGAACCACAGCUCACAUUAGUCCCAGUUGUCCCAAUUAACAUCUGGAAGGUCACACGUCAUGUCCCCCCUCUGCUGUGGAAUUCACAAUUAGCGUGUAUGUGUGUUCUACAAAAAAAUACAUGUUAGUGAGUGUGAAAUAGUAGUUGGGCGACGAAAUAGUAGUUGUUUGACAAAAACUGAAAGAUGCUUUUUCAGCUAUGAAGAUCAAUGUAUUUCACCUUGAGCCAUCCACUGUCAGCCUAAUCCGACCUCACAGAGUUUAUUAUGAGCUCAACCGGGGGUAGAGAAAAGAACCUCAUAUGCUGUCUAGAGCUCCUUGGAGGUAGGAUGAAUAAAACUGCAAUGACUCCAAUAAAUAGCAUAGCAACAAGAAAUUCUUGCCCUUGUGUUGUUACAGAUGUGGCAUUGUCCACUGAUGUAGGUGGCUUUAAAAGUGGAUUUAAUAAAUACAUGGAGGUAGACAUCUGACUUUCAUGUAGAGCCUUAAAAUGCAACUCAUUAAAGCAUAGCAAACAGAACUGUGUAGCCAGCAUAAUUUACGCCAAGGUACAUUAUGCUGGCAUAACAUAGAGGGAAGUCUGCCCCUGCCCUGUGCCACCUCACCGCUCCCUCACAAUACUCCUUUUGAAAAGGAACUUAACCCAUCUGAGCUAGGAUUUAUGCCAGGGUAUCUCUAGCUGAGCUGGGAUGACAGACUUCAGUCGACAUAGUCCCACCUGAACCCAGGCUGGAGCUCUGCCUGUUCCAAUGUCUGCUCAUCCUGGCAGAUCUUAGGUUUGGAUUCCUCCCUAAAUUGUUGAAAUGUUAUUGUUUGCUGAAGUAACUCUUUGUAAAACAGCAAGUAAUGGUAUUCCGACGAUUCCAAAUCAAUUUAAUUUAGAAAAUGAUGGGAGCUCUUACUUGGGAACUGGUGUCUAAAGGGAAAAAGCAUCAUUAC